GUUUCACUGUGUUGGUCAGGCUGGUCUCGAACUCCUCACCUCAGGUGAUCCACCCUCAGCCUCCCAAAGUGCUGGGAUUACAGGUGUGAGCCACCGCGCCCGGCACUUAAUAGAUUUUAACCUAGUAAUUGGGGCAUGGUUUCCUCCGCGGAUCAAGUGAAAUCCUACAUGGUACACUGGACUUUGGGGAAUUCGGUAGUGGCGGGGAGGUUCUCCAAAGUUACAAUUCAAAGACCAACAAGUUUACUCCUUGAUUUUUUUUUUUCUUUGAGAUGGAGUCUCUUGUCACCCAGGCAGGACUGCAAUGGUGUGGUAACGGCUCAACUCUACUUCCAUCUCCGAGGUUCAAGCCAUUCUGCCUCAGCUUCCCACGUAGCUGGGAUUACAGGUGCCCGCCACCAUGCCCGGCUAAUUUUGUUUUUUUGUUUUUGAGACAGAGUCUCACUCUGUCACCCAGGCUGGAGUGCUGUGGCGCAAUCUCAGCUCACUGCAAGCUCCACCUCCCGGGUUCACGCCAUUCUCUGCCUCAGCCUCCUGAGUAGCUGGGACUACAGGCGCCUGCCACCACAGCCCGGUAAUUUUUUUUGUGUAUUUAGUAGAGACAAGGGUUUCACCGUGUCAGCCAGGCUGGUCUCAAUCUCCUGACCUCGUGAUCCGCCCGCCUCGGCCUCCCAAAGUGCUGGGAUGACAGGCAUGAGUCACUGUGCCUGGCCAGUCCUGCACAAUCUUGAAAUGCUGAGGCUCUCAGCAAGCUGAGUGUUGGAGAUAACUUCAUAGACAGUAAUACAUGGUGGCAUAGCUGUUUUUAAGAGAAUCCUGCCUUGUGGGUACUAUCAAAAUCACAGUUCCAGUUGGGCUCAGUGGUUUACCUCUGUAAUCCCAGCACUUUGGGAUGGUGAGGCAGGUGAAUCACCUGAGGUCGGGAGUUCAGGACCAGCCUGACCAACAUGGAGAAGCCCUGUCUCUACUAAAAAUAAAUGUUAGCCAGGCAUGAUGGUGCAUACCUCUAAUCCCAGCUACUCGAGAGGCUGAGGCAGGAGAGUUGCUUGAACCCAGGAGGCAGAGGUUGCUGUGAGGUGAGAUUGUGCCACUGCACUCCAGCCUGAGUGACAGAGCCAGACUUUGUCUCAAAAAAACAAACAGGGGUGGUGGGGGGCCAGACUCGGUGACUACAGGCCAGCCUGUAAUCCCAACAUUUUGGGAGGCCGAGAUGGGCGGAUCACAUGAGGUCAAGAGUUCCAGACCAGCCUGGCCAACAUGGUGAAACCCCGUCUCUACUAAAAACACAAAGCUAGCCGGGCGUGGUGGCAUGUGCCUGUAGUCUCAGCUAUUCGAGAGGCUGAGGCAGGAGAAUCGCUUGAGCCCAGGAGGCAGAGGUUGCUGUGAGCUGAGAUGGUGCCACUGCACUCCAGCCUGGGUGACAGACCGAGACUCGGUCUGAAAAAAGAAAAAAGGCCAGGUGUGGUGGCUCACGCCUGUAAUCCCAGCACUUUGGGAGGCAGAGGCGGGCAGAUCACAAGGUCAGGAGUUCGAGACCGGCUAAUAUAAAAAUUAGCCAGGGGUGGUGGCAGGUGCCUGUAAUCCCAGCUACUUGGGAGGCUGAGGCAGGAGAAUUGCUUGAGCCCGGGAGGCAGCGGUUGCAGUGAGCUGAGAUUGCAUCACUGCACUCCAACCUGGGAGACAGAUCCUGACUCCAUCUCCAAAAAAAAAAAACCGGGGAAACAGUCUCUCUAGUAGUGUUGGAGGAAUGGGGCUGAAUCCAGAGACCGGGACCAGUGAGUGGGUUAAAAAAAAAAAAAUCACUUUAUCAUGAAAUAAACACACAAAGUUCUGUUCUUCUUCCUGGCAGCUUCGGACGAAAUUACACAGGCAUCUCCCAUGCCCACCACCCGUUAGGAAUGUCCAUUCCUGGGCUGCGUGCGCAGGUCCAGCAGCCAGUCUGUGCAGGCGCCUGGCCCGGCCAGGGAGAUUGAGGCAGACCCCCACAAGCCCUGAACCCCAGUCUCAAGUUUUCUGCACGACCUGUACUUCAGUCACCAGACACUCCUCCAGGCCGGCUUUGCCCGCCUCCCAGACCACCUGCAGAGACGAGAGGAGGCAGGGUGAGUCGGCCACCCCCCAGAUAACAGAGCCCACGUCCUGAUCUGCGGGGGCCUGUCCCAUCUCAGAUCUGCUCUGUGGGCCAGGCAUGGUGUCUCACGCCUGUCAUCC
rnacentral:lncRNA from 10 species